UUGAUAGAACAAAGUGAAAAUCAAAUAAAAAACAAAACAUAAAAUCCUAGGCAAAACCCGAAAAAAACCCAUUCCCACAUUCCCUCACCGACUGUGUUGUAUGCCACAUUGCGGUGCAAGAUCAAAGACCGCCCCUCGAUCUGUAAUGACAGCUUUGAUCAUUGUUUUGCCUUUGAUUUUUUCCGGUUCGGUUGCCUUUUCUUUCGCACUCUCUUGGGGAUCUUUUCGGCCCAAUCUGGCCCAUCCCAUCCGAUCCAAUCCAAUCCAAUCCGAUCAGAUCAGUCUCUUUGCCUCGCCUGUUGGCCUGAGUACUUGGAAAGUGUUGGGAAUGGGUGGGAACGCGGACUGUUUACGAUCAAUUUCGCGCCUACUUGAGAGAUUUUUUUUUGCUUUUGGCUGAAGAUCGACAGAGAUCGUUUGCUCCAGAAAGGGGAACUACAAAAUUUCGGAUAUGCAUGAGAGAAACACGAAAGGCAAUUACUGAAGGAAUGGAUAGAAUAAAUUAUUCGGCAAUGAAUGUUCAUACUCUUAGGACAUAUUCCAUUAAGCACUCAAUCAAAAGAGCUUUACGAAAUACCCCCAAAAACCAUGAUUCAUACUUUAAAAUCUACUU